rnacentral:tRNA from 1 species
GCCCGCCUGGGCCGGCACGCUCACGGCGUUCCACGCGGCGCGGACCGCGGUGAACUCCGCGCAGCUGUUCGGGAACAGUUGGCGGGCC